GAUUAGACCCAGCUCCCUGACCCCAAACCCUGCAGUCCCAGCUGGAGGGUGAGGAGAUGCUGGGCUUGGGUGGGGGAAUCAGGGGUGUAAAGGGUCCUGCU
ensembl:miRNA